rnacentral:rRNA from 1 species
AUUAGUGGCGGACGGGUGAGUAACACGUGGGAACGUGCCCUUUGGUUCGGAACAACUCAGGGAAACUUGAGCUAAUACCGGAUGUGCCCUUCGGGGGAAAGAUUUAUCGCCAUUGGAGCGGCCGAUAUCGGAUUAGCUAGUUGGUGGGGUAACGGCCUACCAAGGCGACGAUCCGUAGCUGGUUUGAGAGGACGACCAGCCACACUGGGACUGAGACACGGCCCAGACUCCUACGGGAGGCAGCAGUGGGGAAUUUUGGACAAUGGGGGAAACCCUGAUCCAGCCAUCCCGCGUGUGCGAUGAAGGCCUUCGGGUUGUAAAGCACUUUUGGCAGGAAAGAAACGUCGCGGGCUAAUACCCCGCGGAACUGACGGUACCUGCAGAAUAAGCACCGGCUAACUACGUGCCAGCAGCCGCGGUAAUACGUAGGGUGCAAGCGUUAAUCGGAAUUACUGGGCGUAAAGCGUGCGCAGGCGG